rnacentral:rRNA from 1 species
UACAGAGGUGGCAAGCGUUGUUCGGAAUUACUGGGCUUAAAGGGCGCGUAGGCGGCCUUCUAAGUCGGACGUGAAAGCCCCAGGCUUAACCUGGGAACUGCGUCCGAUACUGGAAGGCUUGGAUUCGGGAGAGGGAUGUGGAAUUCCAGGUGUAGCGGUGAAAUGCGUAGAUAUCAGGAGGAAUACCGAUGGCGAAGGCAGGUCUCUGGGCUGACACUGACGCUCAUGCACGAAAGCGUGGGGAGCAAACAGG